rnacentral:rRNA from 1 species
CAGCAGCCGCGGUAAUACGUAGGGUGCGAGCGUUAAUCGGAAUUACUGGGCGUAAAGCGUGCGCAGGCGGUUGUGUAAGACAGGUGUGAAAUCCCCGGGCUUAACCUGGGAACUGCGCUUGUGACUGCACAGCUAGAGUAUGGCAGAGGGGGGUGGAAUUCCACGUGUAGCAGUGAAAUGCGUAGAGAUGUGAGGAACACCGAUGGCGAAGGCAGCCCCCUGGGCCAAUACUGACGCUCAUGCACGAAAGCGUGGGGAGCAAACAGGAUUAGAUACCCCCGUAGUCCCUGUCUCUUAUACC